UCAACCAUCAAGCUAAGCUUGUCGUUGGACCCCUUUGUCGCCCGGCGACAGGUCCGAAAGAUAAUGAACGGUGUCAUGGCGACCCUAUAUGCAACGAGCUUAUAAAUAGCACGCAUUUUGGUGGUCGUCUGGCCCAGUCGUCACCUAUUUUAUUUUUUCUCCAGG
rnacentral:misc_RNA from 1 species